AUUUGAUUUAGAAUUUGAUUUAGAGUUUAAAAUUUAUUUAGGAUUUGAAUUAAAAUUUAGAAUUUAUUUAGAGUUUAACUUAGGAUUUGAUUUAGGGUCAAAGAUUUGAUCUAAAAUUUGAUUUAAGAUUUUAAGAUUUGACUUGGAUUUAAGAUUUGAUAUUAGAUUUGAUUUAGGGUUUGAGAUUUGUCUAGGAUUUAGUUUAGGAUUUGAUCUAAGGUUUGAUUUAGGAUUUAGGAUUUAUCUAGAAUUUGAUUAAGAAUUUGGUUUAGAAUGUAAGGUUUGAUCUAAGAUUUGGUUUGGAUUUAAGAUUUAUCUAAGGUUUGAUUUAAGAUUUGAUUUAGGUUCUAAGAUUUGAUUUAAGGUUUGAUUUAGGAUUUAGGAUUUAUCUAGGAUUUAAUUUAGAAUUUGAUCUAAGAUUUAGUUUAGGAUUUAUAGUUUGUCUAAGGUUUGAUUUAGGAUUUGGUUUAGGAUCUAGGUUUUGAUCUAAGAAUUGAUUUAGGAUUUAGGAUUUGUUUAGGAUUAGUUUAGGAUCUAAGAUUUGAUCAAAUAUUUUAUUUAGAAUUUAGGAUUUAUCUAGGGUUUGAUUUAGAAUUUAAGAUUUUUUUAAAGUUUGAUUUAGGAUUUAGAAUUUGUCUACAAUUUAAUUGAAGUUUAUUAAGAUUUUAAUUAGAAUUAAAUUAGAAAUUAUUUGAAAUUUAUUUAAGAUAUAUUUGUAAUUAUUUUAAUAUUUUUA
rnacentral:lncRNA from 1 species